GAUGAAGAACGUAGCAAAAUGCGAUAAGUAAUGUGAAUUGCAGAAUUCAGUGAAUCAUCGAAUCUUUGAACGCACAUUGCGCCCGCUAGUAUUCUGGCGGGCAUGCCUGUCCGAGCGUCAUUUCAACCCUCAAGCCCCCGGGCUUGGUGUUGGGGAUCGGCGAGCCUCCGCGCCCGCCGUCCCCUAAAUCUAGUGGCGGUCUCGCUGUAGCUUCCUCUGCGUAGUAGCACACCUCGCACUGGGAAACAGCGCGGCCACGCCGUUAAACCCCCAACUUCUGAACGUUUGACCUCGGAUCAGGUAGGAAUACCCGCUGAACUUAAGCAUAUCAAAAGCGGAGGA
rnacentral:misc_RNA from 1 species